rnacentral:rRNA from 1 species
UACAGAGGGUGCGAGCGUUAAUCGGAAUUACUGGGCGUAAAGUGUGCGCAGGUGGCUUCGCAAGUCGAGUGUGAAAUCCCCGGGCUUAACCUGGGAAUUGCGCUCGAAACUACGGAGCUGGAGUAUGGCAGAGGGAGGUGGAAUUCCACGUGUAGCGGUGAAAUGCGUAGAGAUGUGGAGGAACACCAAUGGCGAAGGCAGCCUCCUGGGCCAAUACUGACACUCAUGCACGAAAGCGUGGGGAGCAAACAGG